UACGUAGGGUGCAAGCGUUAAUCGGAAUUACUGGGCGUAAAGCGUGCGCAGGCGGUUGUGCAAGACAGAUGUGAAAUCCCCGGGCUCAACCUGGGAACUGCAUUUGUGACUGUACGGCUGGAGUGCGGCAGAGGGGGGAUGGAAUUCCGCGUGUAGCAGUGAAAUGCGUAGAUAUGCGGAGGAACACCGAUGGCGAAGGCAAUCCCCCUGGGCCUGCACUGACGCUCAUGCACGAAAGCGUGGGGAGCAAACAGG
rnacentral:rRNA from 1 species